rnacentral:lncRNA from 1 species
UAUCUCUUAUAAAAUCAUACAGGAAACAUUAUCAAACAUAAAAUGAUGUUUGACUUUCUUUAUUCUAAAAACUAAUAAAAAUAGGUGCUAAAAAUUUUCCAAAUGAAAAUAAAUAUUGCUAAACCAAAGAGAAAUGUUAUCUAAGCCCCGUAUAAAAAAUAAAUAAAUCUUGUUCCAAUUGCAUCAAAAAACCCAUUAAGGGCCCUCCAGCACAGGGUUAAUACCAACGAGUUUCCACCUCCAGCUGCUCCUAGAGUGGCCACAGCAUGAGCCAUCUGGUGGGGGACCUAGCCGCCAACAGACACUUCCUGUACAGGGGAGGGGGGAGGGGGCCAGGCAGCCGUUAGACAGCACAACCGAACCCAACACCGGGGCCCAACGGCAGGGGCUUGGGCAGGAGCAAGGUCCGAGGGCUGCCAGGUCCACGCUGCUUUUAUGAGCUGUAACACUCACCGCGAAGAUCUGCAGCUUCACUCCUGAGCCCAGCGAGACCACGAGCCCACCGGGAGGAACAAACAACUCCAGACGCGCUGCCUUAAGAGCUGUAACACUUGCCGUGAAGGUCUGCAGCUUCACUCCUGAGCCAGCGAGACCACGAACCCACCAGAAGGAAGAAACUCCGAACACAUCUCAACAUCAGAACGGACAGACUCCAGACGCACCACCUUAAGAGCUGUAACACUCACCGCGAGGUUCCGCGGCUUCAUUCUUGAAGUCAGUAAGACCAAGAACCCACCAAUUCCGGACACAGUAGCAUUUGGGAAUAAUAAGAAUUGUAGCUGGGCAUGGUGGUACACGCCUGUAGACCCCUAGCAGCUGCCAUCAUCCUCACCAUCCGCAUAUUAUUGAUAUAUUAACUCUUUGAUGGCAACCAUAGCUUAUCCCCCUUAUCUCCCUAUGCCCUACAGCAGGGCAGUGGAAUGGUUAAGAGGCUUUGAAGUCUAAGAGUGCUGGCUUAAAACCCUAAUUUGUCAUUUUGGAUGUGUGGCUUUGGACACUUGGGGCAGGUCACCUAUGUUCUUCAAGCCCUGUAUCCUUAUCUGUCAGAUGAUGAUUUUUUUUUUUUUAGACGAAGUCUCACUCUCUUGCCCGGGCUGGAGUGCAGUGGCAUGAUCUCGGCUUACUGCAAGCUCCACCUCCCGGGUUGACGCCAUUCUCCUGCCUCAGCUUCCUGAGUAGCUGGGACUACAGGCUCCUGCCACCACCCGUGGCUAAUUUUUUUGUAUUUUUAGUAGAGACAGGGUUUCACCAUGUUAGCCAGGAUGGUCUCGAUCUCCUGACCUCGUGAUCUGCCCGCCCCAGCCUCCCAAAGUAUCAGAUGAUUUUAACAACUAUGCUUCCAUGACUUGCUGGGCUAGAUGAUAUGACUGUAAAAUGCCUAACCCAUGGUUUAGCAUCAAGUAAGCAAAUUGUAAAUGGUAGCACUGCUCUGCCUAUGACUAUUUAGUCUUGUGCUUUAAACUCAAAUAUUUGUUGGCCUACUGAAGUCACCACACAGAGAAAGAUGCUUUUCAUUCUCAGUAAAGAACUUUGGGAGAUAACUGGGGCAGGCAGCAAGAGAACAGAUGUCAUAUGUCUAGCAUCAGCAAACUCAUCAGAACUGAUGGGCAGCUCACUUUGCUUAGAACCUGCACCAGCAUACACACGGGGCUGCUUCCCAGUCACACUGCUCCUGGGAAGGUAGGGGGGCUGCUGUUCUGCAAUUAGCGCGGUUCUUUACCUCCUAUUACCGAACUGCCAGAGUUCAUUUGUGUUCAGUUAGGUAGAUGACCAAUUCUUGUUCAUUCCUAUUUUCUUUUGCUCACUAAUGUGUUUAACGUUCACUAACCUACCAAAUGUGAUUUAUUAGCGACUUUUUCUUUGAAGAUGGAGUGGAGGAAUCCUAGCGCUUUCUGCAACAUGCUACUGCUGUUAUGGAACAGUGCAGAUAUGGAAGUGCAUCAGCCGGGGAUGGGGAGAGGCUAGGGCAGUACAUGUGAAUGGAGAGGUAGCCCCACCAGUGUGUUUUCUGAAAUACAGUCCCGCAGAGGGCAGUCUUGGGAAAUUACUGUUCUCACACACUCUUCUUGACCCUACCCCUCCAGCACCUCCCUUGCUAUCCAAGGGUUGGGAUUUUUAAAAAGAAAAACAAAUUUUAAAAAAAGCAGUGUGAAUCUUUUGCCAUCUUGUAAGGGUGAAAAGCCCCCUACCAAGUCGGGAUGAACAUUCAUGCGUGUGCUUGAGGGCUUGGGAAAAAGACAGGGCUUGGCCCCACAGUGCAGGUAGGCCCAGUGAUCCUAUAAUAGGGGCCAGGAGAUGGGAGGUCCCCUGUGGGCAGGAGUUCAAGUAUGUGGUAUUAUAUGACUGGUGCUUGAUGAACCCAGGGAGAGGGCACCAAAAACAAUGGUAUUUAAUUGUAAAAUCUCCACCCCCUGAGGAUAUGUUUUCAGGUCUGGGUGACUAAUUAGACUGGGAAACAAGGGCAGGAACGAUGGCCCUGUGCUUGCUCUGCCCGCUGCCUCUGUGGAUGUGUGGGCUGCUGGCUUCAGUCCUGCUUUUCUUUCUGAUGGUAUUGUUUAUGCUAUGUGUUUUUGCAGGAGGCCUGAGGUGGGCUGGGUUCUCCUCCUAUGGCAGGGCUUCACUCUCCUCCUCCUUCUCUGUUGGGGCUUCACUGUCCCUGGGAUAAGAAUAACAAUGCCAAGGUUUUCAUUCUUGAAAGGAGCAAUUAAGCGUCUCACCCCCUCCUCAUUUUAGAUGGGAACUGUGAGGGUCCCGUCAUUUACCCAGGGUCCCUGUUGAGGAUCUUGUCCUCAUUAGAUGACUUCUUGUGCAGCUUCCAUGCGUGAUUCUUUACUCUUGUGGCACUGAGAGGUUUGUACAUGUCUUUAAGCCAGAGCGGCUUUCUGAAUGAAAAAAGUCCAUCCUAGAAGAUAGAAAGGGAAAUAUUAAUUUUGCAUGUCCUCUGCUUUCCCUGGUCACAGCAAUGAAUCCUCCAAUGUACCUGACUCUCCCUUUGCGAAGAGCAUCUCCGUGGCAGAAAUCUGAAAAUGCCCCUGGGGAGACACAUGCACAAGACAGUUCGUGAGCCACACAUCUCCCCACACCAAGCUCCUCCAUACAAGACCUCGGACUGCAUCACGUAAAUGCUUUUUCAGGGGCAAAAUCUAGAGAAUCUGAAACGAGCUAUCAGCUUCCCAGUUUGCACAAUUCAUCAAGAAAUUAUGCGGGGUCACUGGCACAAAUGAUGAGGCAUCUCCUGGAAGCUUAACUUCUUAUCCAUCCCAUCUCUUGGACAGAUGAUGCCAGUUAAUUACUUUGAAUAGAAGACUCACUGGUGGCACCUGCAGCUGCGGCGUUUUCCCCAAGGGGUCUGUCACACGCAGCCCAACUCAACUGGAGUCCUGAGAAGGUGAACAGACCAGGAUGGAUGGCCAGGGAACUCACCAGAAGUCCCCAGGCAUCAGAACAAGGUCGAAGCAUCCUGAUUAGGGUACCAGAGGCCCAGGCAGUACUUUUGGGGUAGACGAGGUACAGACCUUUGGCUCCUCACUGUCUUCAAGCCCACAAGAAGCAUAGAGCAGAAGAAGACAGAGGAGGGCCCAUCUGGCCCACUACCUGUUCUUCCAGGUGCUCACCUUCUAGCACAUUCUUCAAGAGUUACUCUGAGGCAAGCCAGCCGCCAUGUCAUGAGGACACUCAAGCAGCACCAUGGAGAGGUCCGAUGGCGAGGAACAGAGGAUCCCCCUGCCGACAGCCAAUGAGGAACAGGCCUCCUGCCAACAGCCGUGUAAGGGGUCACCUUGGAAGCCAAUGGCCCCUCCCUGGUCAGGCUUUUACAUGACUGCAGUCCUGGCCAACAUCCUGACGGCAACCUCAUGAGAGACCUUGAGCCAGAGCCACCCACCUAAGCUGCUUAUAGGUUCCUGGCCCUCAGAAAUCACAUGAGAUCAUAAAUGUUUGCUCAAUUUGAGAUAUUUGUGAUGUAGCAAUAAAUAACAAACACACUUA